rnacentral:tRNA from 1 species
GAUCAAAUAGCUCAGUUGGUUAGAGCGUGGUGCUGAUAAUGCCAAGGUUGCAGGAUCAAUCCCCACAUGGGACA